AAAUACGCUUUAGCGGGUUGUGAACCCCGUCAGGUCCGGAAGGAAGCAGCGGUAAACAAUGCAGUCCGUGUCGCGGAUUUGUC
rnacentral:SRP_RNA from 1 species